GCACCCUCGUUCCUGAGGCCUUUCUCCCGUCAAGACGCUCGCGUGAGCAGGUGAAAAAGAUGAGCGCAUAAUAAAGAACGGCAUUAAAUGUUUUUUUUUAUGUCAGUAAAAGUACAACCAAGAUGUGCUGGCAAUACGUUAAAUUCAGCGAAUACGUUUGAGAGGUUGCCCAAGUCACAAGAAGUUUACAAGGCUGCAUCAGCCAACAUUAAAAUGCGUAUCGCAAGCAGUCUAGGAUCGGUAUUCAAGGAAAAUGGAGGGCAGUUCCAAACAGGCUCUAGCACUUGCGUGCUCAGUCUCCCAGAGAAACUUGCCUCCAGUGUCCUGCCCUGAGGGACGAAGAUGAGAUUGCGAACUCCUACUGAGAGUGAUGGAUGGACAAUGGGUGCAUUCUGUUACAAGACUAACUCUUUGAUGUCAAGUGAUACCUGGUAAGCGGCAAUGGACAAAAUGGCGUCCAAGUGGUGUGCAUCUAAAACCGCAUCCGUUGCCGCAUGCUCCAGAAGAGGCUUGCUUCCCACGUUCUGCCCUGUGUGAAGAAGAGAUGGCGAACUCCUACUGAGAAUGAUGGAUACAUUCUGUCGCAGGACUCCAAUCCAUCGAUGACCAAAGUUAUACAUGGAUAAUGGACAAGAUGACGUCCCAAUGGUGUGCAUCUGAAACUGCAUCCGUUGAUGCGUGCUCAGUCUCCCAGAGAAACUUGCCUCCAGUGUCCUGCCCUGAGGGACGAAGAUGAGAUUGCGAACUCCUACUGAGAAUGAUGAAUACAUUCUGUCGCAGGACUCCAAUCCAUCGAUGACCAAAGUUAUACAUGACAGAAAGUGGGAUAGAAGAUGGAUACAUUCUGUUGCGAGGCUCCAACCCCCUUUGUAUUUGGUCCAGCUGCCUGGUGGCGAUCUACUUGGAGGUCUUGCUGCCGUUGUGGCAAUGAAAGUUCAACUGGGUUUGCAAUGUUGAGGUAUUGCCCUGCCAAGACAACAGAUGACACCAGGAUCACUUGCAGACAUUGACAAGGACUUGAGGAUGAUGCUUGUUGAAGAGCUUCCGUCGUGAAGAGCUGCUCCGCCAGGAGACAUUUCAUUGUGUGGACUGUGUAUCCAUGGCUGUAUUUUGUGCCAAUGGCAAAUUAACUUUGAUUUGAUCUCCCAAAGUCUCCAAGAGUCAAGUCAUGUAGGUGGUAUUCCUCUUGGCGUUGUCCUUGGACUCCCUUCUACUACAGUUCUCCCCCAAGUUAAAGUACUUUGAUAACUGCUGAUGUAAAACAAUGUUUUUGAUAUAAUGAACUUUUAAAUUACCACCAAUAAAAAGUUGUGAUUGCAGCAUUUGAAUAAAGAAUGAAUGGUCAUCCUUGCA